UACAGAGGUCCCAAGCGUUGUUCGGAUUCAUUGGGCGUAAAGGGUGCGUAGGCGGCGCGGUAAGUCGGGUGUGAAAUCUCGGGGCUUAACUCCGAAACUGCAUUCGAUACUGCCGUGCUUGAGGACUGGAGAGGAGACUGGAAUUUACGGUGUAGCGGUGAAAUGCGUAGAUAUCGUAAGGAAGACCAGUGGCGAAGGCGGGUCUCUGGGCCGCAACUGACGCUGAGGAGCGAAAGCAUGGGGAGCGAACAGG
rnacentral:rRNA from 1 species